CGAAAGCCUGACGGAGCAAUACCGCGUGAGGGAGGAAGGCCUGUGGGUUGUAAACCUCUUUUCUCAAGGAAGAAGACAGUGACGGUACUUGAGGAAUCAGCAUCGGCUAACUCCGUGCCAGCAGCCGCGGUAAUACGGAGGAGGCAAGGGUUAUCCGGAAUUAUUGGGCGUAAAGCGUUCGUAGGUGGCUGUUCAAGUCUGCCGUUAAAGACCGGGGCUUAACUCCGGAAAAACUGUGGAAACUGAACAGCUAGAGUAAGGUAGGGGUAAGGGGAAUUCCCGGUGUAGCGGUGAAAUGCGUAGAUAUUGGGAAGAACACCGGUGGCGAAAGCGCUCUACUGGGCUACAACUGACGCUGAUGGACGAAAGCUAGGGGAGCG
rnacentral:rRNA from 1 species